GUCCUGGAUGGCGGAGCCUUGGGUUCCGGGGGCCUGGGACCUGCAACUCUUUCUACAAGAUAUCAAGUUAUUCUAGUACAACCAUAUAAAUAAAUAAUACCUGAAGUCUCAGUGUAACAUGGACAAUUAACAGUGAUGACAGAUAAAUACAGACGCAUGGGGAUCAAAUACUAGGCGAAACGCUUUUUAAAAGGUAAGAAAUAAUGUAAUCUUAAUUAAGGCCAUGUGGGGUUUAGUUAGAAGUAAUUGAAGUUUCUUUUUCAGUGUAUCAGGCUUUUAAGAAACACUGCAGGAUCCUGUCUAUCUUAAUGCUGAUAGAGCUCAGCUGUAAGUAUCAGUUCUGUGAAAAUAACAGUUGCAGAUGUUCUUGCCUGCUAAAUAUCGUAGUGGAUAAUCUUCCUAUAGUGAACUCUAUUCAAAUAGAGUAGUUAUGUGGUUGAUUAGAACUUGAUAGAGUGCUACUAGGGCACAUUCCAGUAUGCUCAGAGAUAUACUUUAAGUUGUAGAUGUUCUUUGCUUUUGAUGAUUGCUACUACCAUCACACACUGUAAAACGUAAUGUUUUGCCAUGUUUGUGAAAGGCUUCAGUGUUUGGUACAAAGGAGUUGUCACUUGGAGUCUGUUAUAAGAAGAGUGGGUUUUCAAGUCAAGGGUUACUUUAUGUAGGAUCAUGUUUUCACUGAGCUUCUCCCCAUGUUAACUUAGAACAUUUCUUAAUGUACUGUAGUAUUAAAUGGUUAUUAGACAAUUUUCCUACC
rnacentral:sRNA from 1 species